rnacentral:tmRNA from 1 species
GGGGGCGAUUGGCUUCGACGGAGCAUGAGAAUCGUCUUGUGGCAUGUGCAGGACCCGGGUUACCUGCUAAAUCAUCCUGGAAACAACACAGAUGCCAACUACGGCAACGUAGCUUACGCUUAAUAUCGUGUAAGCCGUUCCUUCUGAUAUUUGCCUGUCGUAUCAGAAUGGAGCGUCAUUUAGAUGGGCUGGUCCUGGUGGAUGUCCGUGCUACCGGAAUGAGAACUUGACGGACUGGUUCUAAAUGAAGGCUGUCUGUCACCUAUUUUAGGGCGAGACACAAAAGUCAGACUAAACAUGUAGAAACGAGAUGCGUCCCAGCUUUGGACGCGGGUUCGAAUCCCGCCGCCUCCACA